GGGGGAAAUGCCAUCUCUUGUAUGAUAGUGGACUGUGCCAUGGUCAUGUGUGUGGAUCCCACCAGGAAGGAUGGCCAGUGUUGCCAGUAUUGUCCUAAUGGAAGGAACUGCAAGUACAACGAUCACAUCAUCAAGGAGGGAGAAGUCUACAAACCCGACGCCAACACCGAGUGUAAAUGCAACACGCAAAUAUUCGGUGUCAACGCCCUGAAGGCUGUGUGUGUCAAGUCGGCCUAGUCUGUCUCUAAUACCUCAGAAAUAAAUCUUCUAAACUA